rnacentral:rRNA from 1 species
CCUAGGGGGCUGCAGUGGGGAAUAUUGGACAAUGGGCGAAAGCCUGAUCCAGCCAUGCCGCGUGUGUGAAGAAGGCCUUCGGGUUGUAAAGCACUUUCAGUGGGGAAGAAAGCCUUGGGGCUAAUACCCUCGAGGAAGGACAUCACCCACAGAAGAAGCACCGGCUAACUCCGUGCCAGCAGCCGCGGUAAUACGGAGGGUGCGAGCGUUAAUCGGAAUUACUGGGCGUAAAGCGCGCGUAGGCGGUCUGAUAAGCCGGUUGUGAAAGCCCCGGGCUCAACCUGGGAACGGCAUCCGGAACUGUCAGGCUAGAGUGCAGGAGAGGAAGGUAGAAUUCCCGGUGUAGCGGUGAAAUGCGUAGAGAUCGGGAGGAAUACCAGUGGCGAAGGCGGCCUUCUGGACUGACACUGACGCUGAGGUGCGAAAGCGUGGGUAGCAAACAGGAUUAGAUACCCGUGUAGUC